UAGGGAAUCUUCGGCAAUGGGGGGAACCCUGACCGAGCAACGCCGCGUGAGUGAAGAAGGUUUUCGGAUCGUAAAGCUCUGUUGUUAAGGAAGAACGAGUGUGAGAAUGGAAAGUUCAUGCUGUGACGGUACUUAACCAGAAAGGGACGGCUAACUACGUGCCAGCAGCCGCGGUAAUACGUAGGUCCCGAGCGUUGUCCGGAUUUAUUGGGCGUAAAGCGAGCGCAGGCGGUUAGAAGAGUCUGAAGUGAAAGGCAGUGGCUCAACCAUUGUAGGCUUUGGAAACUGUUUAACUUGAGUGCAGAAGGGGAGAGUGGAAUUCCAUGUGUAGCGGUGAAAUGCGUAGAUAUAUGGAGGAACACCGGUGGCGAAAGCGGCUCUCUGGUCUGUAACUGACGCUGAGGCUCGAAAGCGUGGGGAGCGAACAGG
rnacentral:rRNA from 1 species